ensembl:snRNA U6 U6 spliceosomal RNA
GUGCUCACUUGGGCAGCACAUAUACUAAAAUUGGAACGAUACAGAGAAGAUUAGCAUGGCCCCUGCACAAGGAUGACAUGCAAAUUUGUGAAGCGUUCCAUAUUAAA